rnacentral:lncRNA from 1 species
UUUUUGGAUAGGUCGUACUGAGACGAGUUCAUAGACACGUAGUGGGCUCGAAUCGGAGUUGUAACGAGAGAGUUAUGGUCAAAAGAAACCCAGUGGCACAAUCGUAAAUAUUUCAAAAUGGGAUUUUUAUAAAAAUCUGGUUUUCUCUCUCCCUCUCUCUCUCUCUCUCCCGCGAGCAGCCCCUCCUCUUCCGUUUUUUUCUGCACAGCCGGUGGCUCCAAGAGCCACCACAGCCGCCACCAGCCACCGAUUGGGGUGGUACCGGUCCCAAAAGAACCGCCAGCUCCUCCUCCUUCCAUCCCGCUCCAUCCC